GGGGCAGUGAGGCCACACCGUCAGCACUGAUGUCACCUGUUCUUUAAGCACUGUGGUUGCAGGACAAGCUCAGGGCUGGAGUGAGCUGAGCUCUGACAAACCUCAUCCUUCAGUUUCCUUAGGAUGUGUCCAGAGAAGGUGGACCUGAGGACCCAGAGUCAGCUCGUGAGGCUGCGCCUGACCAGCAGCAGCUUCACAUGCUUGACUGCAUACUGCAACACAAGAGCCAGGCUGUCCUUCACAUAGCUGCAAGGAGCUGUCAACAACCACCCUGGAAGGUCCCGUUUCCUGCAGCACUUGCUUGGCUCAGCACUGAGUGUGUGCUGAGAUCCGGUGCUGCACACUGGGCACAGGGAGAGCUCUUUUUUGGUUGACUCUUCUGGACUGUCUUCCCAAGGCAGAAGCUGGAAACCACCAUGGCCUCAGGGUUUCAGCACACAGAGAUGCUGUAAAUCCCAGUGAAUGAGGCCCAGCGUGGAGCGGUUAUUUUCAAGGGCACUGCUACCAAUCUAUCCAGAGAGAGAGCUGGUCUCUGGGCAUCACUAAGAGGACUUGGAUAACACAGCAGGAGCAGGACAGAGUUGUACAGGAGUCAUUUAAAAAUAGAAAAAUAUAAUUUAAAAACAAACUCUUCUGGAUGUAACUUGAAAAAUAAGCAAGUAGAAAAUAUGAAACGAAUGCAAAGGGCUCCAGGUUUCUCGUUCUUCAAAAGUGGUGAUGGUUCAGGUGGGUGAUGAGCAGCUACAGAAGUAAACUAUUAAAUCAAAGAGAAAAGAGGAUGUAUGUACAUAUGUAUGCACUUUGAAAGACUUACGCUGAAUUAUAAAUGCUUCUGAAUCAUAAAAAUACAGAGCUUGUCAGUGGUUUCUGUCGAAGAUUGAACAUCUGAUUUCAUUUGUUCACAGCACAGCCUGUAUGAGUUAUCACAUCAAAAUCAGACAGAAGGGAGAA
ensembl:lncRNA